rnacentral:tRNA from 1 species
GGAAGGAUGGCCGAGUGGUUGAAGGCGCACGCUUGGAAAGCGUGUUCAGGUGCAUAAACCACCUGACAAGGGUUCGAAUCCCUUUUCUUCCG